rnacentral:rRNA from 1 species
GACGGAGGGUGCUAGCGUUGGUCGGAAUUACUGGGCGUAAAGGGCGCGUAGGCGGCUACGGCAGUCGGGUGUGAAAGCCCGGGGCUCAACCCCGGAACUGCAUCCGAUACUCUGUGGCUAGAGACCGGAAGAGGUGGGUGGAAUACCCAGUGUAGAGGUGAAAUUCGUAGAUAUUGGGUGGAACACCGGUGGCGAAAGCGGCUCACUGGUCCGGUUCUGACGCUGAGGCGCGAAAGCGUGGGGAGCAAACAGG